rnacentral:sRNA from 1 species
UUGCUGAGGUGAGAUAUAAUGAACGUGGGUGUCGAUAGCUCCGGCAGUAAGAAUCAUUCCCUCUGCUGAGAUAACCUCAGUAAUUGUUCCUAUAAUCAUUCCCGGAGUAACGUCGGGCUGCACAUGAGGAUUACCGGCUUUACCGAUAGCCUUAAUCAUCCCGUCUUUAAUUCCGACAUCAGCUUUUAUUAUUCCUGUAUAAUCAAUGAUAAGAGCAUUUGUGAUAACAAGAUCAAGCACAUCUUUGUCUUCAAACCCAGAAGCCUGACCCAUUCCGUCGCG